GACGAACGCUGGCGGCGUGCUUAACACAUGCAAGUCGAGCGGUAAGGCCCCUUCGGGGGUACACGAGCGGCGAACGGGUGAGUAACACGUGAGCAAUCUGCCCUUCACUUUGGGAUAACCACCGGAAACGGUGGCUAAUACCGAAUACGACCACUUCGGGCAUCCGAUGGUGGUGGAAAGUUCCGGCGGUGAAGGAUGAGCUCGCGGCCUAUCAGCUUGUUGGGGGGGUAACGGCCCACCAAGGCAACGACGGGUAGCCGGCCUGAGAGGGUGACCGGCCACACUGGGACUGAGACACGGCCCAGACUCCUACGGGAGGCAGCAGUGGGGAAUAGUGCACAAUGGGCGCAAGCCUGAUGCAGCAACGCCGCGUGGGGGACGACGGCCUUCGGGUUGUAAACCUCUUUUAGUAGGGAAGAAGCGAAAGUGACGGUACCUGCAGAAAAAGCACCGGCUAACUACGUGCAAGCAGCCGCCGUAACAC
rnacentral:rRNA from 1 species